rnacentral:rRNA from 1 species
UACGUAGGGUGCAAGCGUUAAUCGGAAUUACUGGGCGUAAAGCGUGCGCAGGCGGUUUUGUAAGACUGACGUGAAAUCCCCGGGCUCAACCUGGGAAUGGCGUUGGUGACUGCAAGGCUAGGAGUUUGGCAGAGGGGGGGUAGAAUUCCACGUGUAGCAGUGAAAUGCGUAGAUAUGUGGAGGAACACCGAUGGCGAAGGCAGCCCCCCUGGGUCAAAAACUGACGCUCAUGCACGAAAAGCGUGGGGGAGCAACAG